UUACAACUGAUGUCACUCCUUUAUUCACUGAAAUAUAACACGGAACUAGAAAACUGGUGGAGGGAGGGAGCGCUGGUGGAGGGAGGGGAGAGGAAGGGAGUGGAGGGUGCAGAGAGUGUCAGGAAGAGCGAGGGUGUAGCAGGGAAAGUCUGUGCUGCGUGUGGGAAGUGACUUUAGUGGCGGCGUGAAGGCGAGGACACGAGUGAGGUGCUGGCAGGCUGACUGAGCGUUGCCAGUGUGGGAGUCGUCUGGUGUGAGCCGCCCCGCCUGAUUCCGCUCCGAGACGCUUACCAGUCAAUACAUGUGAGCGUGAGGGUGAUGGAGGCACUGGUGGGACUGCAUUCGGACGCGAGUCGAAGCAGACGGCAGUCGACUCACUUGCUGGCAACGCUGACUGAUGGACGUGGGAAAGGAGGGGCUGUACGCACACUGUAUAUUGGUUUACCCUCAAUAUAUAAUGUACCAGUAUGGCAGCGUCAUCUCGUCAUAUUAUCUUUUCAGGAGAGGCAUACCACGUGGGUUUAUACGCACACACACACGCGUGUAUGAAUUUUAGUAAUGACUAGCGUCAAAACAACAAUGUUUACCCUGGGUUAUGUACGUUUUCUUAGUAUGGUUCGUUUUCUAUGGAUGAUAUUAAAGGGUAACCUGAAUAAAAGAAAAAUAUGUUUCGUACUGCCAUGAAUUCACUGUUGUAAAUGUAGUAUUGUUUACCAAACACUUCCACUAAUGUGAUUAUAACUUCCCUCAAAAUAAACCUUAAAGAACUC